rnacentral:rRNA from 1 species
GAUUAGUGGCUCAGAACGAACGCUGGCGGCAUGGAUUAGGCAUGCAAGUCGAACGCUAGUAGCAAUACUAGAGUGGCGCAAGGGUGAGGAACGCGUGAGUGAUCUACCCUCAAGUUGGGAAUAGCUCCUAGGGAAACGGGAAUUAAUACCGAAUGUGAUCAUAGAGCUGCAUUGGUUUUUAUGAAGUUAAAGGCGAAAGUCGCUUGAGGAGGAGCUCGCGUCCCAUUAGCUAGUUGGUGAGGUAACGGCCCACCAAGGCAAUGAUGGGUAGCUGGUCUGAGAGGACGACCAGCCACACUGGGACUGAGAACUACCCAGACUCCUACGGGAGGCUGCAGUCGAGUAAUUUUGGGCAAUGGGCGAAAGCCUCGACCCAGCAAUGCCGCGUGGCGGGAUGAAGGUCUUCGGAUUGUAAACCGCUGUCGAGGGGGACGAAAUAUGACGGUACCCCUAGAGGAAGCCACGGCUAACUACGUGCCAGCAGCAGC